rnacentral:rRNA from 1 species
CGACGUGCUACACUGCAGUCGACGGAGAUUAUGAAGGAAGCUUGCUAAUUCUUGACUUAGUGGCGCACGGGUGAGUAACGCGUGGAUAACCUGCCUGGUAGGCCGGGAUAGCAGCUGGAAACGGCUGCUAAUACCGGAUACGCUUAAUGGAGCGCAUAUUCUUUUAAGGAAAGCAGUCCUGCUAUCAUAUGGAUCCGCGUCCCAUUAGCUAGUUGGUGGUGUAAGGGACCACCAAGGCGACGAUGGGUAGCCGGCCUGACAGGGCGACCGGCCACUCUGGGACUGAGACUCGGCCCACACUCCUACGGGAGGCAUCAAUGGGGAAUCUUCCGCAAUGGGCGAACGCCUGACGGAGCAGCGCCACGAGAGGGAAGAAUGCCUUCGGGUUGUAAACCUCUGUCAUCAAGGAAGAACAGAUGACCGUACUUGAAGAGGAAGCCCCGGCUGACUACGGUGCCCGCUCCGCGGUAGAACGUACGGGGCGAGCGUUGUCCGGAAUUACUGGGCGUCAAGGGCGCGUAGGUGGUCCAUUAAGUUAAAGGUGAAAGAUCGGGGCUCAACCGCUAGAUUACCACUGAUACUGGUGGACUUGAGUGCAGGAUAGGGUAGCGGAAUUCCCGUGUACCGGUGAUUGCCUAGAUUUGUCAGGAACACCAAUGGCCAACCUGCUCUCUGGACUGUCACUGACACUGAUGCUCGAAAUCACGACGAGCCUACAGGAGUAGAUACCCUGGUCGUCCACGCCUCAUACGAUAAGUGCUAGGAGUUGCAGGUAUCUACCCCCGUAUUGCCCUAAUUCAUAUAAUACUCACUCCUCCUGACGAUCCAGAUCGCAGACUGAGACUCUAAUGAAUUGCCCGUAGCCCGCACAUUCAGUGCAUUACGUGGGUAUACUUCUACGCAUCUCGGACAAUCUUAUCCAGGCUUGACAUCGUCAGAUAGCGAUUAAAUCUCGAUCUUACCCUUCUAGUAACAGAACAACUAGUGGUGCAUGACUGUCCUCAGCUCCUGUACAGGCAUGUCGCGUAAGUCUCACAGCGAUGCUACCACUAACUUAGCUGGCCUCCAUUACGGUUAGCAACUUCAUGUCACUGCGAUGAAAAACUUACGACGUGAGGAUUACUCCAUCAUCAUGCCUCUACGUCCGGGUUACCCCAUACGC